UGGCGAUCAUAGCGGCAGGGAUACACCCGGUCACAUUCUGAACCCGGCAGUUAAGUCUGCCUGCGCCUACGAUACUUGAUUCGUCCCGGGAAAAUAGGAAGCCGCCA
rnacentral:rRNA from 1 species